UACGGGGGGGGCAAGCGUUGUUCGGAAUUACUGGGCGUAAAGGGCUCGUAGGUGGCCAACUAAGUCAGACGUGAAAUCCCUCGGCUUAACCGGGGAACUGCGUCUGAUACUGGAUGGCUUGAGUUUGGGAGAGGGACGCGGAAUUCCAGGUGUAGCGGUGAAAUGCGUAGAUAUCGGGAGGAACACCAAUGGCGAAGGCAGCUCGCUGGGACGUUACUGACGCUGAGACGCGAAAGCGUGGGGAGCAAACAGG
rnacentral:rRNA from 1 species